rnacentral:tRNA from 1 species
GGGCCCAUAGCUCAGCCUGGCUAGAGCACUGGUCUUAUAAGCCAGGGGUCGGGAGUUCAAAUCUCCUUGGGCCCACCA